GGGGGAUUAGCUCAGCUGGGAGAGCGCUACAAUGGCAUUGUAGAGGUCAGGGGUUCGAACCCCCUAUCCUCCA
rnacentral:tRNA from 1 species